rnacentral:piRNA from 1 species
GAAGAAAGUUACAGUGCCUUUAAUUCGCCA